UAGGGAAUCUUCCACAAUGGACGAAAGUCUGAUGGAGCAACGCCGCGUGAGUGAAGAAGGUUUUCGGAUCGUAAAGCUCUGUUGUUGGUGAAGAAGGAUAGAGGCAGUAACUGGUCUUUAUUUGACGGUAAUCAACCAGAAAGUCACGGCUAACUACGUGCCAGCAGCCGCGGUAAUACGUAGGUGGCAAGCGUUGUCCGGAUUUAUUGGGCGUAAAGCGAGCGCAGGCGGAAUGAUAAGUCUGAUGUGAAAGCCCACGGCUCAACCGUGGAACUGCAUCGGAAACUGUCAUUCUUGAGUGCAGAAGAGGAGAGUGGAACUCCAUGUGUAGCGGUGGAAUGCGUAGAUAUAUGGAAGAACACCAGUGGCGAAGGCGGCUCUCUGGUCUGCAACUGACGCUGAGGCUCGAAAGCAUGGGUAGCGAACAGGAUUAGAUACCCUGGUAGUCCAUGCCGUAAACGAUGAGCGCUAGGUGUUGGGGACUUUCCGGUCCUCAGUGCCGCAGCAAACGCAUUAAGCGCUCCGCCUGGGAGUACGACCGCAAGGUUGAAAC
rnacentral:rRNA from 1 species